GGGUUGUGAGGUUAAGCGACUAAGCGUACACGGUGGAUGCCCUGGCAGUCAGAGGCGAUGAAGGACGUGCUAAUCUGCGAUAAGCGUCGGUAAGGUGAUAUGAACCGUUAUAACCGGCGAUUUCCGAAUGGGGAAACCCAGUGUGAUUCGUCACACUAUCAUUAACUGAAUCCAUAGGUUAAUGAGGCGAACCGGGGGAACUGAAACAUCUAAGUACCCCGAGGAAAAGAAAUCAACCGAGAUUCCCCCAGUAGCGGCGAGCGAACGGGGAGCAGCCCAGAGCCUGAAUCAGUGUGUGUGUUAGUGGAAGCGUCUGGAAAGGCGUGCGAUACAGGGUGACAGCCCCGUACACAAAAAUGCACAUACUGUGAGCUCGAUGAGUAGGGCGGGACACGUGGUAUCCUGUCUGAAUAUGGGGGGACCAUCCUCCAAGGCUAAAUACUCCUGACUGACCGAUAGUGAACCAGUACCGUGAGGGAAAGGCGAAAAGAACCCCGGCGAGGGGAGUGAAAAAGAACCUGAAACCGUGUACGUACAAGCAGUGGGAGCACGCUUAGGCGUGUGACUGCGUACCUUUUGUAUAAUGGGUCAGCGACUUAUAUUCUGUAGCAAGGUUAACCGAAUAGGGGAGCCGAAGGGAAACCGAGUCUUAACUGGGCGUUAAGUUGCAGGGUAUAGACCCGAAACCCGGUGAUCUAGCCAUGGGCAGGUUGAAGGUUGGGUAACACUAACUGGAGGACCGAACCGACUAAUGUUGAAAAAUUAGCGGAUGACUUGUGGCUGGGGGUGAAAGGCCAAUCAAACCGGGAGAUAGCUGGUUCUCCCCGAAAGCUAUUUAGGUAGCGCCUCGUGAAUUCAUCUCCGGGGGUAGAGCACUGUUUCGGCAAGGGGGUCAUCCCGACUUACCAACCCGAUGCAAACUGCGAAUACCGGAGAAUGUUAUCACGGGAGACACACGGCGGGUGCUAACGUCCGUCGUGAAGAGGGAAACAACCCAGACCGCCAGCUAAGGUCCCAAAGUCAUGGUUAAGUGGGAAACGAUGUGGGAAGGCCCAGACAGCCAGGAUGUUGGCUUAGAAGCAGCCAUCAUUUAAAGAAAGCGUAAUAGCUCACUGGUCGAGUCGGCCUGCGCGGAAGAUGUAACGGGGCUAAACCAUGCACCGAAGCUGCGGCAGCGACGCUUAUGCGUUGUUGGGUAGGGGAGCGUUCUGUAAGCCUGUGAAGGUGUGCUGUGAGGUAUGCUGGAGGUAUCAGAAGUGCGAAUGCUGACAUAAGUAACGAUAAAGCGGGUGAAAAGCCCGCUCGCCGGAAGACCAAGGGUUCCUGUCCAACGUUAAUCGGGGCAGGGUGAGUCGACCCCUAAGGCGAGGCCGAAAGGCGUAGUCGAUGGGAAACAGGUUAAUAUUCCUGUACUUGGUGUUACUGCGAAGGGGGGACGGAGAAGGCUAUGUUGGCCGGGCGACGGUUGUCCCGGUUUAAGCGUGUAGGCUGGUUUUCCAGGCAAAUCCGGAAAAUCAAGGCCGAGGCGUGAUGACGAGGCACUACGGUGCUGAAGCAACAAAUGCCCUGCUUCCAGGAAAAGCCUCUAAGCAUCAGGUAACAUCAAAUCGUACCCCAAACCGACACAGGUGGUCAGGUAGAGAAUACCAAGGCGCUUGAGAGAACUCGGGUGAAGGAACUAGGCAAAAUGGUGCCGUAACUUCGGGAGAAGGCACGCUGAUACGUAGGUGAAGCGACUUGCUCGUGGAGCUGAAAUCAGUCGAAGAUACCAGCUGGCUGCAACUGUUUAUUAAAAACACAGCACUGUGCAAACACGAAAGUGGACGUAUACGGUGUGACGCCUGCCCGGUGCCGGAAGGUUAAUUGAUGGGGUUAGCGCAAGCGAAGCUCUUGAUCGAAGCCCCGGUAAACGGCGGCCGUAACUAUAACGGUCCUAAGGUAGCGAAAUUCCUUGUCGGGUAAGUUCCGACCUGCACGAAUGGCGUAAUGAUGGCCAGGCUGUCUCCACCCGAGACUCAGUGAAAUUGAACUCGCUGUGAAGAUGCAGUGUACCCGCGGCAAGACGGAAAGACCCCGUGAACCUUUACUAUAGCUUGACACUGAACAUUGAGCCUUGAUGUGUAGGAUAGGUGGGAGGCUUUGAAGUGUGGACGCCAGUCUGCAUGGAGCCGACCUUGAAAUACCACCCU
rnacentral:rRNA from 1 species